rnacentral:rRNA from 1 species
GACGAACGCUGGCGGCGUGCUUAAUACAUGCAAGUCGAGCGAGGUUACUGCGACAGGUCCCUUCGGGGUGAAGUUGCUUUAGCCUAGCGGCGGACGGGUGAGUAACGCGUGGGUAACCUACCCUAAAGUUCGGGAUAACAGCGGGAAACCGCUGCUAAUACCGGAUGCCUUUACCGUGUGGCAUCACAAGGUAAAGAAAGGUGACGCUUUAGGAUGGGCCCGCGUCCCAUUAGCUAGUUGGUGAGGUAACAGCUCACCAAGGCGACGAUGGGUAGCCGGCCUGAGAGGGUGGACGGCCACACUGGGACUGAGACACGGCCCAGACUCCUACGGGAGGCAGCAGUAGGGAAUAUUGCGCAAUGGACGGAAGUCUGACGCAGCGACGCCGCGUGAGCGAUGAAGGCCUUCGGGUCGUAAAGCUCUGUCCUUGGGGAAGAAGGUCUUCGGACUUGACGGUACCCAAGAAGAAAGCCCCGGCUAACUACGUGCCAGCAGCCGCGGUAAUACGUAGGGGGCGAGCGUUGUCCGGAAUUACUGGGCGUAAAGGGUGCGUAGGCGGCCCUUUAAGUCAGAUGUGAAAGCCCGCAGCUUAACUGCGGAAUUGCAUUUGAAACUGGAGGGCUUGAGUGUCGGAGAGGGUAGUGGAAUUCCCAGUGUAGCGGUGAAAUGCGUAGAUAUUGGGAGGAACACCAGUGGCGAAAGCGACUGCCUGGACGAUAACUGACGCUGAGGCACGAAAGCUAGGGGAGCAAACAGG